rnacentral:rRNA from 1 species
GUUAUAUGGUCAAGUGAAGAAGCGCAUACGGUGGAUGCCUUGGCAGUCAGAGGCGAUGAAAGACGUGAUAGCCUGCGAUAAGCUUCGGUGAGGUGGCAAAUGACCUGUGACCCGGAGAUCUCUGAAUGGGGGAACCCACCUAGCAUAAGCUAGGUAUCUUAACCUGAAUCCAUAGGGUUAAGAGGCGAACCAGGGGAACUGAAACAUCUAAGUACCCUGAGGAAAAGAAAUCAACCGAGAUUCCCUUAGUAGUGGCGAGCGAACGGGGACCAGCCCUUAAGUUGAUUUGAGAGUAGCGGAACGCUCUGGAAAGUGCGGCCAUAGUGGGUGAUAGCCCUGUACGCGAAACGCUCUUAUCAAUGAAAUCGAGUAGGACGGGGCACGAGAAACCCUGUCUGAAUAUGGGGGGACCAUCCUCCAAGGCUAAAUACUCCUGACUGACCGAUAGUGAACCAGUACCGUGAGGGAAAGGCGAAAAGAACCCCGGAGAGGGGAGUGAAAUAGAACCUGAAACCGUAUGCGUACAAGCAGUGGGAGCCCACGUUGUUGGGUGACUGCGUACCUUUUGUAUAAUGGGUCAGCGACUUAUUUUCAGUGGCGAGCUUAACCGAAUAGGGGAGGCGUAGCGAAAGCGAGUCUUAAUAGGGCGUCUAGUCGCUGGGAAUAGACCCGAAACCGGGCGAUCUAUCCAUGAGCAGGUUGAAGGUUAGGUAACACUGACUGGAGGACCGAACCCACUUCCGUUGAAAAGGCAGGGGAUGACUUGUGGAUCGGAGUGAAAGGCUAAUCAAGCUCGGAGAUAGCUGGUUCUCCUCGAAAGCUAUUUAGGUAGCGCCUCAUGUAUCACUCUGGGGGGUAGAGCACUGUUUCGGCUAGGGGGUCAUCCCGACUUACCAAACCGAUGCAAACUCCGAAUACCCAGAAGUGCCGAGCAUGGGAGACACACGGCGGGUGCUAACGUCCGUCGUGAAAAGGGAAACAACCCAGACCGUCAGCUAAGGUCCCAAAGUCCUGGUUAAGUGGUAAACGAUGUGGGAAGGCUUAGACAGCUAGGAGGUUGGCUUAGAAGCAGCCACCCUUUAAAGAAAGCGUAAUAGCUCACUAGUCGAGUCGGCCUGCGCGGAAGAUGUAACGGGGCUCAAACCAGGCACCGAAGCUACGGGUAUCACCUCUGGUGAUGCGGUAGAGGAGCGUUCUGUAAGCCUGUGAAGGUGAGUUGAGAAGCUUGCUGGAGGUAUCAGAAGUGCGAAUGCUGACAUGAGUAACGACAAUGCGAGUGAAAAACUCGCACGCCGAAAGACCAAGGGUUCCUGCGCAACGUUAAUCGACGCAGGGUGAGUCGGUCCCUAAGGCGAGGCUGAAAGGCGUAGUCGAUGGGAAACGGGUUAAUAUUCCCGUACUUCUAGUUACUGCGAUGGGGGGACGGAGAAGGCUAGGCCAGCUUGGCGUUGGUUGUCCAAGUUUAAGGUGGUAGGCUGACUGUUUAGGUAAAUCCGGACGGUCAAGGCCGAGAGCUGAUGACGAUCCUUCUUUUAGAAGGAGAAGUGGUUGAUGCCAUGCUUCCAGGAAAAGCCUCUAAGCUUCAGGUAAUUAGGAACCGUACCCCAAACCGACACAGGUGGUCGGGUAGAGAAUACCAAGGCGCUUGAGAGAACUCGGGUGAAGGAACUAGGCAAAAUGGCACCGUAACUUCGGGAGAAGGUGCGCCGGUGAGGGUGAAGGGUUUACCCCGUAAGCUCAUGCCGGUCGAA